rnacentral:tRNA from 1 species
UGCGGGGUAGUUGCUGUUGGCAGUGACGCUUGGUUCUGACCCAGGAGGCCGUUGGUUGGAUUCCAACUCCCGCAA